GUUUCAAAACAUCUGGAGAGCCAAGGUUCCCUAUGCCUGAUCUAGUCCAACCCCCUGCAAUGCAGGAAUGUGCAGCAGUCCCAUAUGGGGAUUGAAUCUGCAAUGUUGGCGUCCUCACCAUGCUCUGAGCUUCAACGACAUGUUACAAGGAGUUCAAGGAUACAGUUCCAGCCAGGAAAAACACUAGGAGGGUGUGAAGUAAAGCCAGUGAUAGAUGUGGCUGUGGAGGUGUUGUGACCUGGGGAUGACCUCAAGGAGUAGAUAGAGAGGUCUGGAAGGCCACAUUUGACCCUCAGGCCUAGGGUUCCUCACCCCAACCCUGUGCCUGGCUUGACAACUCAGUCUCAGGCCAGUGCUAGGAUCACUUUUUUACUAUUGCACUGGCUUGGAGUACAUAGGCCUGAUCAUUUGAAACACAUGACUCCACAGAAGAUAAAUGAAUGAACAAAGUUUUAAUCCAAGCUCUAUUAUCUCCCAGAUGACAGGGGGUUCACAGUGGUGCGCAUGGUUCUUCAGUUCCCCAAUGUAUCCUCACAACAACCCUUUGGGGUAGGUCAGGCUGAGAGGCAGUGACUGGCCCAAGGUCACCCAGUGAGUUUCAUGGUGGAGUGGGGAUUCGAACCCUGGUCUCCCAGGGCCUACUCCAACACUCCAACCACAGUGGCUCAUAAAAAACACAACACUGAGUAAAAUAGAAAAUUGCUCUUCAUCACUUGCAGUGUAAUCCGAUGCUUUUUUUUUUACUUAGAACAGAAGUAAAUUUCACUGUGUCCAACCCCGUAUAUUUCCUAGGAAGUGUGUUUAGGACUCUUGUCUCCUUGUGAAAAAUACGGUAUAUACUCAAGAACACAGUUACAAAACACCUUGCUGUAUUACUGGAAUGUUUAAGUCCAACAUGUGACCCACUUUUUAGCAAUGUACUUUCAGGAACUACAUUGAACUUUUUCUGCGGAUCUAGCUCAGUAAACAGGCCACCCUGAUCUCUGCUGAGCAGUAGUGAGAUUGCAGGGGUUUUGGCACUUAAGCAGGGUUUGUGUUCCCUGGGAAUGAGACAGGGUGGAGACCGUCGUGUCUUUAUGAAGUACAGUUUAGAAUCAUAGAGUUGGAAGAGACCACAAGGGCCAUCCAGUCCAACCCCCUGCCAAGCAGAAAACACCAUCAAAGCAUUCUUGACAUAUGCCUGUCAAGCCUCUGCUUAAAGACCUCCAAAGAAGGAGACUCCACCACACUCCUUGGCAGCAAAUUCCACUGCCGAACAGCUCUUACUGUCAGGAAAGUUCUUCCUAAUGUUUAGGUGGAAUCUUCUUUCUUGAAGUUUGAAUCCAUUGCUCCGUGUCCGCUUCUCUGGAGCAGCAGAAAACAAUAUUUCUCCCUCCUCCAUAUGACAUCCUUUCAUAAUAGAAGUUUAGUUUACACAUGUUUACAACCUGAGUUCUGAUGGAAGGAGUGCAGAACAUUACACCCUACCAGCGGGUCUGAUUACUUCUCUCAUUCCUUCAGCAAGCUUGGCUCCAAAGCAGCAGUCAGCCAGCUUCCCAAGUCUCUGCAUGCAGUCUCCUCCAGUGGAGUUCUGGCCCCUCCCUCCUUCCCCCAAAACCCUGCUUCAAAACCUGUUUUAAAAGGACACCUUUUUUUCUUUGUUGACAUCACACCCCAUUAACCCUAGCAACCUCCCCACUUCUUUUGUUUUUGUCCACUUCUUGUGGGCAGAGAAGUGAGCACCUCCGUGGCCUAUUCUUAUUUGGCUCUCUUUGUGUUUUUAAUGCCAUCACUAUCAGUGAUCUCCUGAACAGAAGAACUGGUCCAGCCUGUAUUUUUCACUGCCCUGGCAAAUACUAGCUAAAUUCUACCUUUUACUAAACUUAGAAUGUGGAGUCUGUGCCCCGCCCCAAAUUCCUAACAAUAUUAUAUACCUAUGCUACAUUUCCCAUUGCAAAACAGGCAGCGCGCCUUUGGUGGUCCUGAUCAAAAAAUAAAUGUUUUUAAUUACAUCUCUCAGGACUCUUUAUUCGACCAGAACUGAUUCCUCCUGCCUUUGGAUUUCAGUGGACGCGCCUACCUUUCAUCAGCAUCGGGGUGUAAAAAUAGGCAAUAUAGGGCAGGAACAAACUUCCUACGAAUCCGACCAGGUCUUAGUCACCCUCGUCACCUACUUCUCAGGUCCUCCUUUGUUUGCCAGCUCCUAGACUGACGGUAGCCCAUAUUUCUUAUCUAGUUGACGGAGAAACGCACACACAGCUGAUGCUUGUGGACAGGGAGUUGCCCCUCGAAAGCGACACACACUCGCCCAGCACCUGCUGCUUCUCUCAGCAGCGCCAUGGAGGAAACCUGGAGCCGCGCAGUGAAAGGCCUGACUGAUUUUAUGGGCUUUCUGAAUCGGAGUCCCAAAGAAGAAAGCAGCAGCCCGAAGGCGACGGCGGCAGCAGAGGCGGCGAACGCGGGGACUUUGCUACCAGACGAAGAGGAAUUUCAGCAUGCUGCUAAAACUAAUAAUCUGGACACAAUGGAAAGGCUGUUUAAGAAAAGAAUUAAUAUUAAUGCUGUAAAUAGUCUGAAGCGCACAGCACUCCAUUUUGCUGUUGCAGGAAAUCAUGUAUCUGCAGUAGACUUUCUCCUCCAUCACAAAGCCAGAGUUGAUGUAGCAGAUAAGCAUGGACUUACUGCAAUUCAUCUUGCUGCGUGGUCUGGAAAUCUGGACAUAAUGCUGAUGUUGAUUAAAGCAGGCGCUGAUCAAAAAGCUAAGAACAAGGAGGGAAUGAAUGUCCUGCACUUUGCAGCCCAGAACAAUAAUGUUAGAAUAGUGGAUUAUUUUAUCCAAGAUCUCCACUUGAUGGAUCUUAAUAAGCCUGAUGAGAAAGGUAGGAAGCCAUUCCUUCUUGGAGCUGAAAUGGGCCAUGUAGAAAUGACGAACGAGUUGAUUUCCCUUAACUUAUCUACCUCAGAAAAGGACAAUGAAGGAAACACUGCAUUGCACCUGGCUGCUAAAAAUGGUCACAGUGAGGUGGUAGAAGUUCUUCUUCAAGAGUGGAAAGAAAUAGAUGAGUUAAAUCAGAAUGGUGAAACCCCGUUUUACCUAGCUGUGGAAGGAGGCCACGAAGGGUGUGCCGAUCUGUUAUUGGAAGCUGGAAGUGACAUCAAUAUUUCCAAUAAACACAAUACCAGUGCAUUGCAAAUAGCAACCCAGAAUGGACAUACAGCUUUGGUCACAUUUCUUAUCAAUAAAAAUAUAGACCUGGGAGUGCAUCCUCAGCAAAAGAGUCCUCCACUCCAUUUGGCUAUCUUAAAAAAUAACCUACCUGUGGUAAAUAGUUUAAUAGAAGCUAACCAUGAUAUAAACUCGCUCGAUCAGAGACACCAGACACCUUUACACCUGGCAGCAGACCUUGGAAAUGUGGAAGUAAUUGAAAUGCUGCUAAAGGCAGGUUGUGACUUGAAAAUUGUGGACAAGCAAGGAAAAACUGCACUAGCUGUAGCUUCCAGGAGCAAUCAUGCCUUGAUUGUAGAUAUGAUUAUAAAAGCAGAAAGGUAUUACACCUGGAAACAGGUAAGAAAAAACUCUGGUUUAGUUAUCCUUUUGCUAACACAUAUUUAUCCAAUAAGUGAAACCAUUUCCCCAAAAGAUGUUUAUCUAAUGGCUUUGGAUUCCCAAACUCCAAGGUGGGCUUCCUUGUAAAGAGGCUAGAAAAUGCGAGAGAGAAAGUGGGCAUUUCUUGUUUUUAAUUCCAUUGCAUCUUUUGUUUAUGUCUUCACUGUUAUCCAACAGCAUGUUGAGUUAGAUGCUGAGCUCUCUUCCUGAACUUUCUUGGCAUCCUGAUGAACUCGGUGCUUCCCUUAUUCUUAAUGGACUGUAUGGGAAAUGGCGGCGGGGGGGGGAUCUAUAUGUUCUGCUUACCCAAAGAUCCUUUCCAUACAGCACAAUCUGGUGCAUGUUUACUUAAAAGUUAGUAGUGCCGUAUUUGUUGGGGUUUAUUCCCUUGUAAAUAUGUUUAAGAUUGCAGCUUUGGAGACUUUUUUCCUUUUCCAUCAGUCUACCUUCUGCUGUGGCUGGGUUUAAAGGGGGGGGGAGGUUUCCCCCCUUGGGGCAAUUAUUUGCAUACUCAUGCACCUUUUAUUGCCCAAAUUGCAUUAUGUUACAGUUCGAUUGUCUGAAUGGUUCAUUAAGGUGAGUACACACUCAUGUUUUGGCAUUGCCACAACACGUUUAGAAUGUUUGCGGUGGCAUUCUUGGCAGCGACUACAGUGAGCAUGGUGUUGUUGGCUGGCCACUAGGGUGAUGACUUUUUUACAACCUCAUUUCCCUGUAUCAUAAUUUGAUGAGCUUUAAUUAAAGAUUAGAUAAAAUCUUACUUUCAAAGAGAUUUGAUUAAAAAACCUCAUGCACAAAAUGAUUUUAAAAAAUUUAUUUACUGUAUCAGUUUUUUGACCAUUUUUGAAGUCACUGUAAGCAGAUAUAAAAUUGAACCCAAGCUUUAGAGUCACAUAUAUACAGCAUUAUAUAGGCCCAUCAAACACACAAGGAAGCUUUUUUUUAGCUGCAGUAACAGUAUAGACGAUGUUUUGCUACCUCUCCUGUAGGUUCUUUUUCCAGCAUGCCCGGCAGGGUCUGCUGGCUGAGUUUUGAGGUCCCAAAAAGGGGCUUUUACCUUGCGCAGGUGUGACAUUUGUAUACCCUAUGUUGCUAAGAACACUCCCCAUUGUGGAAUGUGGCGUUGUGUCCAAAUUUGAUACAAAAUAUAUAUAGAAUUGUUAAUACAAUUUUAUGAAAUGGUAAAACAGCAUACAAAAAAUUUAAAAAUGGUUUGUGCGUGACCUUUUUUAAUAUUUCAAUGGAAUAUACCUUGUUUUAGUCAUUAAUAAGCAAAAGUUCAUCCAUUUGUGCUACAGGACAUAAUUUUUGAGAGAAAAAUGAAAAAGUCACCACCCUACUGGCCACACAAUGAAAUUGUGAUUGGGCACUGUUGGUUUAUUUCAUGUCUGAGGCUAGCCACAUAAUAGGGAUUAUGUUCAACCCUCCCAUUGCCCCCGUGGAACCACGUGGGCCCAAUGAAAACAGUUUGGCCUGUAGCAAGCUCAGAGAUCCGGCAGGACAGAUCACAUGCCUCUUGGAAACUACAACUUCCAUGAUGCCACAGGACCUUGGAAAUGCUGUGAAUGAAUGGGCACAUUCAAGUCCUUAUGAAACAGAAGAAGAAGAUAGUGAUGAUAAUAAUAAUAAAUUUUAUUUAUACCCCGCCCUCCCCAGCCAAGGCCAGGCUCAGGGCCAUAGCUGUCAAGUUCUCCCUUUUUUUAAAAGGGAAAUUCCCUUAUGCUGAAUAGGCUUCCUCACGAGAAAAGGGAAAACUUGACAGCUAUGCUCAGGGCGGCUAACACUAGAUAUAAAACAACUGAUUAAAAUGCAACUUAAGAACAAGAUUAAUACAUUAAAAUGCAGCCUCAUACGGAAGGAAAAGGGAAAAUAGGGGAGGGAAUCAGGUUGGCUCCAGGCCAAAUGCCAGGCGGAACAGGCCCUGUCUUACAGGCCCUGCGGAAAGAAAACAGGUCCCGCAGGGCCGUGGUCUCAGGUGACAGUGCGUUCCACCAGGUCGGAGCCAGUAUUGAGAAGGCCCUGGUUCUAGUUGAGGCUAAUCUGAUUUCCUUCAGGCCCGGGACCUCUAAGGUGUUACUAUUUAUGGACCUUAAGGUCCUCCGUGGGGCAUACCGGGAGAGACGGUCCCCUACGUACGAGGGUCCUAGGCCGUAAAAUAUGAAGUAAAGCUCCAACUGGGAUACAGAUCCUAAAAAUCUGGGUAUUAUUGGCGUGCUCCUUUUUACAGAACUAGUGUGUUGCAGUGGCUAAAAUGUAGAUGUUGGCAACUCAUUCAGCCAUGAAAAUCACUGAUGUCCUUCAGCAAGGCACUGUCCCAUACCACACAGGGGAUGUUGAGGAUAAAAUCAAGCUGCCAAGCUCUGUGGCAGGACAUGAGAAAAAGAAAUGUGGGAAAUAAGCAAACAUAUUGAUUGAGGGGAAAGGAAUGCCAACAGAAUGCACACUUUUACUGCAGAAACAAAGAGCUUUCCAUUAUGGAGUUGGUGUACUUGAAGCUCUUGUUUUUUGUUCCAUUAAAUAAAACAGAGAAUGGAGGAAAGGGCAGGAAGGGAACACAAAGUACAGAUUCAGCUUAGAUUAGUUUGGAGUUAGCUGGCUUUUAUAAUGUGCCGCAAGGUUAAUUACAUGCAUAUUUAAGUGCAGGUCUUCACAGUUCUCUUCCAUAUGGGGAAACAAUCAGGAGGGCAGGAGAACAUUUCACAGCAAACAACUGCUGGUCAAGGGAAGCAGAGCAAUGUCUGGUAAAUCCAUAAUGGCAUCUGUUUAACAUCCAUUCAACAUAGGCAAGCUGGGAUUCUGUGUGCUCCAUCUCAGCCAAAUAUACAGAUGGGUUUGGAGCAUCUUCAAAGUGGUGGUGAUCCGCAAAAUGAUAUUCUGUCUUUUAAACAAGAUCACAGUGUGCAGACCAAACAGAUUCGCUCCUCCCUUUGGAAUCUUGCUUACAACCAGUUAAAAAUGCAUGAG